AAAAAGGGGGGGGGGGGUUUUUUCCCUUUAAAGGUUUUAAAAUUUUAAAAAAUUUUCCCCAAAAUUUUUUUUUUGGGGGGGGAAAAAAGGGUUUUUUUUUUUUUUUUUUUUCCCCCCA